UAUAGUUUUUAAAUUUUCUUAGUUUUUAACUAAAAUAGUUUGGCAGUGAGCGAAUCCUAUUAGGGGAAGGUGUGUAGUAAAGGACGUUCCGCCAAUAAAUUUACUUUUAUUAUGUUGGUGUAUAUCUGGUUUGAUAUUAUUGCUUAAUAGCUUAAUUUGUGUAUAUAAAUUUAAGCCAAGUCUAUGUGCUGCAUGUAAAAGUUUUCAUGCGUUACAUUUAUAAUCAUUAAAAUUUAGUAGUAGAAAGUUGAUUUAGGACUUAAAAGUAAUAUAGAAUAAAGUUGUCUAUGUG
rnacentral:rRNA from 1 species